rnacentral:rRNA from 1 species
AGCAGCCGCGGUAAUUCCAGCUCCAAUAGCGUAUAUUAAAGUUGUUGCAGUUAAAAAGCUCGUAGUUGAAUUUCGGGGUUCUACCGUUGGUCGGGCUUUGUCUGUACUGGCGUGUAGAAUUUCUACCUUCUGGGGAACCAUCAUGUUAUUAAUUUAACGUGGUGGGAAACCAGGACCUUUACCUUGAAAAAAUUAGAGUGUUCAAAGCAGGCUUAUGUCUGAAUACAUUAGCAUGGAAUAAUAGAAUAGGACGGUGGUCCUGUUUUGUUGGUUUCUGAAUCACCGUAAUGAUUAAUAGGGAUAGUUGGGGGCAUUAGUAUUCAAUUGUCAGAGGUGAAAUUCUUGGAUUUAUUGAAGACUAACUUCUGCGAAAGCAUUUGCCAAGGAUGUUUUCAUUAAUCAAGAACGAAAGUUAGGGGAUCGAAGACGAUCAGAUACCGUCGUAGUCUUAACCAUAAACUGUGCCGACUAGGGAUCGGACGAUGUUAAUUUUUCUUGACUCGUUCGGCGCCUUACGGGA